GUCCCUUCGGGACCUUCGAUAAAAUUGGAACUGAUACAGAGAAGAUUAGCAUGGCUCCUGCGCAAGGAUGACACGCAUAAAUCGAGAAAUGGUUCAAAUUUUC